rnacentral:rRNA from 1 species
CAGCAGCCACGGUAAUACGUAGGGUGCGAGCGUUAAUCGGAAUUACUGGACAUAAAGCGUGCGCAGGCGGUUUUGUAAGACAGGCGUGAAAUCCCCGGGCUCAACCUGGGAAUGGCGCUUGUGACUGCAAAGCUAGAGUGCGGCAGAGGGGGAUAGAAUUCCGCGUGUAGCAGUGAAAUGCGUAGAUAUGCGGAGGAACACCGAUGGCGAAGGCAAUCCCCUGGGCCUGCACUGACGCUCAUGCACGAAAGCGUGGGGAGCAAACAGGAUUAGAUACCCCAGUAGUCCCUGUCUCUUAUAC